rnacentral:rRNA from 1 species
GACGUAGGGCGCGAGCGUUGUCCGGAUUUAUUGGGCGUAAAGAGCUCGUAGGCGGCUUGUCGCGUCGACUGUGAAAUCCCGCGGCUCAACCGCGGGUCUGCAGUCGAUACGGGCAGGCUAGAGUUCGGUAGGGGAGACUGGAAUUCCUGGUGUAGCGGUGAAAUGCGCAGAUAUCAGGAGGAACACCGAUGGCGAAGGCAGGUCUCUGGGCCGAUACUGACGCUGAGGAGCGAAAGCGUGGGGAGCAAACAGG